AUGAAAAGUAUGGUAAAAGAUAAAAAGAUGGCGUUUUGGAAAAAGGAUAGGGUUCAAAAGUUUGUGGCUUUGAUUUUCACAAAAAAAAAACGGCUCUUCUCCUUCACCAAACGACGUCGAAAAUGGAAUUUCAAUCUCACCUUUCUCAUGCGAACUUCCAGCACAUCGCCGUCUUCUGCUCUUGCUUCCUCUUCACUGUUCAUCCAAUUCCAUUAA